UAACUGCGAUAAGCAAUGCGAAUUGCAGAAUCCGCGAGUCAUCAGAUUUUCGAACGCAGCCGGCGCUGUGGGUGAAAUGCCUGCAGCAAGUUUGCCUCAGUCUUUAUGAUUAUACCACAUCAAAAUGUGAUUGAACCGCAAGGUUCCUUCAUUAAAUGUGAGUACGACGUAUUCUAAUCCUAUGAAGCAGUCACGGUCUCUGACAGUGAUUUCGUAGGCUCUUGGACUACGGCCAGUACAGAGACGCUAGUCUUUCAAAAUAAUCCAAAGCUGAGGUCAAGCUAGACUACCCGCUGAACUUAA
rnacentral:misc_RNA from 1 species